rnacentral:rRNA from 1 species
AGCGAACGCUGGCGGCAGGCCUAACACAUGCAAGUCGAACGAACUCUUCGGAGUUAGUGGCGGACGGGUGAGUAACACGUGGGAACGUGCCUUUAGGUUCGGAAUAACUCAGGGAAACUUGUGCUAAUACCGAAUGUGCCCUUCGGGGGAAAGAUUUAUCGCCUUUAGAGCGGCCCGCGUCUGAUUAGCUAGUUGUUGAGGUAAAGGCUCACCAAGGCGACGAUCAGUAGCUGGUCUGUGAGGAUGAUCAGCCACAUUGGGACUGAGACACGGCCCAAACUCCUACGGAAGGCAGCAGUGGGGAAUCUUGCGCAAUGGACGAAAGCCUGACGCAGCCAUGCCGCGUGAAUGAUGAAGGUCUUAGGAUUGUAAAAUUCUUUCACCGGGGACGAUAAUGACGUUACCCGGAGAAGAAGCCCCGGCUAACUUCGUG